UACGUAGGGGGCAAGCGUUGUCCGGAAUCAUUGGGCGUAAAGCGCGUGUAGGCGGUUCGGUAAGUCGGCUGUGAAAGUCCAGGGCUCAACCCUGGGAUGCCGGUCGAUACUGUCGGACUAGAGUUCGGAAGAGGCGAGUGGAAUUCCCGGUGUAGCGGUGAAAUGCGCAGAUAUCGGGAGGAACACCUAUGGCGAAGGCAGCUCGCUGGGACGUUACUGACGCUGAGACGCGAAAGCGUGGGGAGCAAACAGG
rnacentral:rRNA from 1 species